UGAGAAGAGGAAGAGACUGCCAUCAUUUCUCACAUCCGUGUGGAAUCAGCAUAUUUGCGAAAACGUGUUCAUAAAUCAGGGGCAGAUAACCCAACAGCUCAUUCCUGUCGCCUGCUCUUCAGAUUGUUGUGAUGGAGUUCAGCUCAACAGUCAGUGGGACGUGACCAGUCAGUGUUGCAUACAGUAUCUCAGGUGUAAAUCUUGUUCUCAUGGAGACACAAAUGUUAUCCUAGGAGCACGCAUUGCUCUAGCAUCUGAAAACAGUGACUUUAAGCCCGGACAGAUUUGGCUUCAGGCGACUACUGUGACGUGAUAAAAGGAAAGGGAAGUGUGGAGG